rnacentral:lncRNA from 1 species
UAAUGGCAAUGGCAAUGGCACGUUGUUUGAUUUGAAUUUCACGUGGUGAGUCACAUGAGAUAUCUAUUUUGUACAUUUUUAUUUAUAUUGUUUUUGGUAAUUUAGUACUUAAUUUAAUUUAAUUUGAUGCAAAGCUCAAUGUAAAUUAAUUGAGUCAGAAAGGCAUGCAGAGUAUUAGUCAAUUAAUUCAGCAAUCACAUGCUCCUAAUCAUGUUUCUUAAUUACUUUAUUUAUAUACACACAGUCACACAUUAGCUAGACAAAGAUCUUCUCCAUUUUCUUCAUUCUUAAUUUUUUUUUAUCUCUCUUCAACGUAACUACUUUUUUCUUUUCCUUUUCUAAAUUAAUGUAUCCAAUGCAUAACGAUAAUUAGCUCUCUUAAAAUAGCUAAACAACCGUUAAAUCAUAAGCACUUUCAAUUUAGCUCUUCAAACUUGAAGAGAAAAAGAAAAAGAAAAAAACAAUUAAUUAAAAACUCAAAACACCCAUAAAUGAUUUGAUUGAUACUUUACUUUGAAGGGAUUUAUAUAUACAUAUAGCUAGAAAGAUGGGUUUUUUUUUAAAGGCACAAUUAAGAGAUUGUGGGUAUGUGUGUUGAAGAUCAGAAGAGAGAAUAGAAUGAGAAACAAUCAAUCAAAAGCUGAUGUAAAUAAUAAUUACCUGAUCUAAGAAUAAUAAUAUAACAAUUAAUAUUCCUCUUUAUCAUAACAUGAAAGAGAGAGGACAAAAGAGGGCAGGCAGAGGCUAUAAAAUUAAUAUAAACCCAUCUACUCUAAACUCCAUACUUUUUCACUCAAAGUUAGUAGAGAUAUGAAGAAGAUCAAACUUGGUGGUUUAAACUCCUCCAAAUCUUUCUGUUCCCUUUUCCUACUUAUAAUUUCGAUCCAAAUCCUCACCAUUUCCUCCUCUUGUUCUUGCCAUCAACUUCAAAUUGCCAACACCAUCUUAGCAACAAUGGAUCAAACCAGAAGCUUUCCUAGAAGACUUUUAUUGGUUUCUUCAACAACUUUGAAGAUGAAGAAUAAUAACAACAACUCCAACAAUCAAGAUCAGCCCAAGAAAGCUGUGGAACAAAGCUUCAAGAAAGUCCCCCCAAGUGGAGCUAAUCCCAUUCAAAAUAAGUAGUUCAUAUUUCUGUUUUUGGAGAAUUUGAAAGCGCAUAUGAAACUUUCGAUCUCAAGAAAAGAAAGUGGUUAGCUUAACUUUUGAAGUACGACGACUCUUGUUAGAAGGAAGCAUCAGUUAACACAACACCGGGUUAGGUUAGAUUUUUUUCUCACUUGUUUGAACUUGAAUUUUCGAUUUAGAAAAAAAAUGAAUGAGUUGUCUUUUAAACUUUUACAGCUAGGGUUACUUUAGUUGGAAGAAAGUUGUUAGUUAAAAGUUUAGUAUAUUUUUUCCUUGUUUUUCUAGGAAUCUAUUUUGUUUUUGCUUGUACAUAAAUUAUAAGUUUGAGGAAUUUAUCGAGGAAGGUAAUGAGGUUUUAUUUGGAUUAAAGCUUAAUUGGGUUUAGAUCUUACCCUAGUUUGUUCUUUAAUUAGUUCAUUUGAUUCAUAUUACUUGAUGGGAUUUAGGGUUUUUGUUCACUGGAUAUACUUUUGAGAAAGAGAGUUAUUGGAAUGGAAAUUUAAGGUGAGAAAGUAAUUAAAUGGGGAAGAAAUAGAAUGAUAAUUUGAUUUUGUAGUUUCAAAUUAAUUAGAAAAAGGAAUUUUUUAGAAGUAUUUUUCAUAAAUUGGUACUAAUUAAUAUUUUGAAUUGAUUAUUUCAACCAGUUGGGAAUAGGCUUUUGAAAUCAGUGAUUCAGUGUCCUUAAUUUCAAGCUAAAAAUAAGGUAAUUAACAAUGAGUAGUCAAGUUAAAAUAGAAGAGAGAGAGAGAAGAAUCCAUGGGGGAAAUUACAUUCAAAACUAAUUAGUUUGGGCGUAAUUUAAACUUCGUUAUUUAAACCAUAAAACUAAUUAAUAUUUUGAAUUGGAAGGUUUACUUUAAAAAAAAAUAGCAAAAUUAUUUUUAAAUUGUUACAAUAACAAAAUAAAAAGAUAUGGAAAAAAACGAAACUCCUAAAUGCCCUUACUCAUUUGAGAAAAAUUCAAAUACCUUGUAAUUAAAUAACAUAUCUCAAAUACAAUCAAAUCGUAUGAAAAUAUAAUUUUUCCUAAAAACAUGAAAUUAUACAUAUUGCCAUUUAAAAAAAGAUUAUAAAUUAGUUGAAAUUUUUUCAUACUAAAUAUAGUUUGCAAAUAUAGUGUAUUUGUGACUAUGUGAUAUUCCACUUCCUUUUUUGUAUCGUGAAAAUAUACUUUAUUUGUAAAAAAAAAAAUUGUACUACAAGCAGGGCUAAAAACGAGUAAAAAAUUUUGUAAAAAAACCCGUUUUUACCAAAAUUCUUAAUAUUUUUUUUUUUUUUUGUUAUUUUUGUGUGUGUGAUUCAAAAUUUUGUCAUUUAUCUCUAAAACGGUAACCGUUAUCAUGUUUAGUAAGAGAGAUAGACGAGAGAUCCCAGGCCCAUUGGGCCAUACACAUUGCUAGAGAGAGAGCCCAACUGCAGAACCCAAUAAGUGAGAGUCCCAACUCAACUUACCAUGGUUAGCAUUGACAAAAUUUAUGUACGGAUGCGGAGUAUCUUCUAUUAUCG